AUUGAACGCUAGCGGCAUGCUUAACACAUGCAAGUCGAACGGCAGCGCGAGGAGCUUGCUCCUUGGCGGCGAGUGGCGGACGGGUGAGUAAUGCGUAGGAAUCUACCUUAAAGUGGGGGAUAACCCGGGGAAACUCGGGCUAAUACCGCAUAAUCUCUACGGAGCAAAGCAGGGGACCUUCGGGCCUUGUGCGUUAAGAUGCGCCUACGUCGGAUUAACUAGUUGGUGGGGUAAAGGCCUACCAAGGCGACGAUCCGUAGCUGGUCUGAGAGGACGAUCAGCCACACUGGGACUGAGACACGGCCCAGACUCCUACGGGAGGCAGCAGUGGGGAAUAUUGGACAAUGGGGGCAACCCUGAUCCAGCAAUGCCGCGUGUGUGAAGAAGGCCUUCGGGUUGUAAAGCACUUUCAGUGGGGAAGAAAGAACCAAAAUUAAUACUUUUGGGUGUUGACGUUACCCACAGAAGAAGCACUGGCUAACUCUGUGCCAGCCGCCGCUGUAA
rnacentral:rRNA from 1 species